rnacentral:misc_RNA from 1 species
GGUGGGGGAGGAGAAGAGAGAGAGAGGGGAAAAAGAUGGAAAGUAUUUGAAUUUUGUCUCUCUUUCUCAUUUGGGUUGUGAUUUUCUUGGAAAAUAUUUGAAGGGUUUGUAAAAUCUUGGGUGUAUUUGUAUUGAAUUGAAGGAUCUGAUGUAUUGUGCUAAAUUAGGGUUUUUUGAUUGGAAAUGCAUGUUGUUGAGGAUUUGAACUUUAAUUUGGGGGAUUGGGAUUAUUAGAGUAUUGAUAUGGAUGUGGAUUCAACUAUGGUAUCGGAGUCCGAUCACGAUCCGACUGUUCAGAAUGAUAGUUCGACGUCGGAACAACAGCUUAAUGAUGAGUCUUCAACUUCGUUGCAGCAGCAAAGUUCACAAACUCAGCAACAGCAGCAGCAAAGUAGUAGUAGUAGUGUUCCUGCUGUUGCGGGACCUAGGUGUGCUCCGACGUAUUCGGUGGUGCACGAAGUGAUAGAGAAGAAGGA